GAAAGUUAAGCCAGCAAAUGGCAUUAGAUACCCCAGUAGUCUUAAGUGUAAACGAUGGAUACUCGAGAAAAGUACUUACUAUAUUCUAUUCCUUAGCUAACCCGUUAAGUAUCU
rnacentral:ncRNA from 1 species